GACAAAAUCUAGCAAGUAGAUUCACCUUAGUGGUAGAAAAUCUUUGAAGGAACUGUAAUCUCAACCUCAAUCAACAAUGCUUGGGGAGCAUAUGGACAAACCUUUUAUGCUGACUGUGAACGAACAUUAAGUCCAAACUCUGUCCAAUUUCUGAUGAGGUUGAGAAUUUAAAAUCAGCAGAAAAGGAAGUGACAGUCAAGAAACUAUAUUUGUUCUGAUGCUGCCAGCCAUGCCUUCAGCUGUUUGGACUCUAAACUCUGAAAUACACGCUGUGCUUCACUCCUUUUUGCAAAAAAAAGUGCUGCAGCUCAUUCUCCUAAACUAGCUGGAGAACUGCGCUUCGGUCAAGUAUCAAGUUUCAAGUUAGAAGUGUCUCUGCAAGGUACUUUCUUAUUUGCAUCAGACAGUGCUGGGUCAGAUUCUGAAAAACAGGCCCAUAACCACCUCAAUCAGUUUCUGAAGGAUGAGACAACCGAGAAAGGGAUGUUAAGAAGAUUUACAUUCGUUUUGCAAGAAAAGUAUUUUAAUUCUGAA